UGAACAUGGCCCCAUCACUUUUCUCUCAAAUCCCAUUCUUUGCCAUGCGAGCCACCCGAGAUCUGGAGGGAGAGCAGCGUCCCCUUCUCUCCUUCACCACCAAUGAAGCUCUCCGGCCUCUUUUCCUUUCCCUAUCAAAUCUAGCAGUCCCAGCCGGCCAAAACUCCCCUUCCCGACCAGCCCCAGCCAACCUCCCCUUCCUCCUCCCUAGUGCAACCGUCUCCCCUUGUUCCUAGCCACCUGAGAUCCGGCUGAAUCCAUAAGCCACUCAUCUCCUAGCAAGCCGGCCACCCUUCCCUCCCAAACCCGUACAAUGACCACGAGCCCAGCCGAGGGGACGCUCGCCCAUCCCACCACGGCGUGGGUCGCUGGGUGCCGUCUCCAUCGUCCUCCUCUGAUGCGGGAGGUCGUCGUCUCCCACGACCAUGGCGACAUGCGCUAUCCCCGCUACGGGUAGCAGUGUGUCGACGCGCCGAGGUCGUCAGCUCCGGGAUGGAUUCUCCACUGGUCUGUGGUGCGGGUCAUCCUCGAGUUGCAGGAGGAGAGGAAGAGCUCCCGGAUCCCCCUCUUUAUUAGCCCUUCUCCUCCAUGGCGGUCAGGCUUACCCAUCGUUAUCCGCUCGAUGUUGCCUCUGCCCCAUGGCCUGAUGGUGGUGUGAAUUUUUCUUGUACACCCUUUGUUCAAGCUACUUGCAGCAAUCCACACUUUUCUUUGCAAUUGUUUGAACUUUGUAUCCUCUUUUGUAACCAGAAAAUUUUGGCCCGGCCGAGACAAUGAAACCACAUUUACUCUGUAGACACUUUUGGCUGCAUUCCACAGGCCUUUUCAGCUGCAAAAACGAGUUCCUCACGCGCCGCAGUUCAUUUAUCUAUCCGAACGGUGCCGAACCAUGUUCAUUUAGCUAGACGAAAAUGGAAAGAUUUAAAUGCCCAUACCGCCCUUGGCAGCUCAGAACUUUUAAUUAGUAAAUGACCACCAUCAGCCAAUGCAGAAGUUUGCCCGAAGUAGCUCCCUGGCGACCAUGGCCGGUUGAGAAAGACGCAACAUUUUUUGCUCUUACUGCAUCUGAAAACUCGGACGCUAGGUUGCCAUUUCGGGGCUACACCUCCAUAAAGGUUCAGCUGAGCUUUCCUCUUGCGUCAUGGCGAAAUUCAGCAAUUCAGAACCUUAUCCACCCAAAGGUGCGGAUCUCAAAGAGCAUGGACGGUUCCGAUAACAUCCACCCUAGUUAUUGUGGAUAGCAAAUCCAUGCUCUCUCUCUCUCUCUCUCUCUCUCUCUCUCUCUAUAUAUAUAUAUAUAUAUAUAUAUAUAUAUAUAUAUAUAUAUAUAUAAACACUAUUCUGAUCGCGGGAUCAGAAUAAUAUUCUAAUCACAACCUGAACUGCCUGAGUUACGCGCCUGAACUUCCCUCUAUACGAACCCGGCCUUCGUGCUAUCUUCGCAAACGUGCCUUUCCCCGCGAAUUAUUCUGGUCGGUCGUAUUGUUUGCGAUGUAAGUGUAAUCCGUAAACAGUUUUUAGCAACUAAAUGCUCGUUUUAAAUAGGAAUUCCGGUCAUUAGCGAAUUUGCUCUCGGGGUUGUGAUGAACUUGCGUCUGUUACAAGUUUAAUGCAUGUUGUGGAUGUUGUCGAAGCUCUGGCAUGAUGGGAAUUAGGUUUUGGUACGAGUUUGGUUUACAAAUUCUUGUUAUUUCAAACAAUUUUGAAAUCACCCGUGUUCUUCAUCUGCCCGAGACGCAGCCUGCGCUUCCGUUGAUUUCUCUUUUUUUGUAAAGUUUGCUGGCUGAUUUGCGUACUUUAGUGAAAUUCAAGGCUUACUAAGUCGUUAAUUUUAAUCGGGAUGGUCCAUACGGUUUGAUUUCUAGCGAUUUGAUGUUGGCACUCCCGCGGCUUUUUGCACACGUUAUUUUUGCGGUUUUGAAAUUUGCCCUCUGGUCAUUUUGUUGUCGAAAGGGAGUUGCCAGAUCAUUUUCAAGGGGGUGCGGACGUGUUGUAAUCUUGCGGAGAUGGUUUUAUGCUUCGGACGAAUUCGUUCGUUCUUUAUUUCUAGAUCAUCUAAUGGUCGUUGUACAAGCUGGACUUCUGCGUUUGCCAUACCUGAACUUCUGCUUUUCCUUCGUUGGAUCCUGUAGGGGCUGGGGCGGCUCAGGAUCGGGAUCAGGGGAUCAGGUGGAUCCUGUCGGGGCGGCCUCGGGAUCAGGUGGAUCCUGUGGGUCGGGCCGGGUUUCUGUGCUGGACUUCUGCGUUGUCAUACUUGAACUUCUGCUUUUCCUUCGUUGCAAGGUAAUGCAGCAAGUCCUCUAUAUUUCUUUCCUUUUUUCCUGUCAUUUUUCAUUCUUGCUUUGUUUUGAUUGUUUUUUACUAAGUCCCAUGAGCGACCAUGGAAUUAAUUGGCCGAUGGAUAUGCAUAUAUUUUUCUUUUUUUUCUAGUUUGUUUUCGUUCUUCUAAUAUUUUGUUGGACUUCACUUAAUAUCUAUCCUGAACUUCUGUAUGCUAAUUGUUUUUAACAUGUUAAUUUGAGGUUUUACAAAACCCCGGACUUCUAUAACAUCACUAUUUGAACUUCUUUUUAUUUUUAAUUAUGUUUGUUGUUUUAAUUACUUAUUUUAAUCUAUCUUCGGGGAUAUUUUUUGGAUCAUCUAAGGUCUGUAGUCAAAGUUGGACUUCUAUUGUACCAGUGAUUGAACUUCUGGAUUUCCACAUUUCAAGGUGGUGCAACAUUGUGCUCUAUAUUUAUAUGUUUGUUUUUUUUGUAAUUUUCAAUUUUUGAAUUUGGUUUUGAGUUUGUCCCGUGUGCAACCAUGGGAUUAGUCCCAAGUAUGCAUGCAUACUUUUUUUUGUAACAUGUUUGCAUACUUCGAAUAGCGGUAGAACUUCGGUAGGUAUUUAACCUGAACUUAGUAGAAUUUUGGUCCUGUAUAAUCUGCUUUUUUACAUGUACAUAUGAUGUUUUUUCAAACCCCCGAACUUCUGUGUCUUUACAAUUUGAACUUCAUCAAUAAUUUUUGAUAAAUUUUUUUGGGUUUAAAGCAUUGCGUCCUGUCAAAACCUAGUGCAGCAAUGUGGUAGCGCGAGGCCGAGCAGGGGGAGGGACCCCCUCCCCUCCCCUUGCGAGGCCGAGACAGGAAUGAGCCAGAGCAGGCGAUGACGCGGCGUGCCGCGUCAUCGCAUGCGGAGGCGAGUCCAUCACAUCCGUGAUCCCACUAUCUAUCUUAGGGGUGUGGCUCUGGGGUGCGUGCGGUGGGGAUGGAAACAAAAUAACCGGAUUGCGUCCUAUCAAAACCUAGCGCGCAUCAAUGCGGUAGCGCGAGGCCGAGCAGGGGGGAGGGGGUCGGGACCUCCCCUCCCCUCCCCCUGCGAGGCCGAGACAGGAAAGAGCCGGAGCAGGCGACGACGUGGCGUGCCACGUCGUCGCAUGCGGAGGCGAGUCCGUCACAUCCGUGACCCCCAGUAUCUAUCUUAGGGUGUGGCUCUGGGGUGCGUGCGGUGGGGGUGGAAACAGAAUAUCCGCAUUACACCUGUCAACCUAGCGUGCACCAACGCGGUAGUGCGAGGCUGAGCCGGGGGAGGGGGAAGGACCCCCUCCCCCCCUGCGAGGCCGAGACAGGAACGAGCCGGAGUAGGCGAUGACGCGGCGUGCCACGUCAUCGCAUGCGGAGGCGAGUUCAUCACAUCCGUGACCCCACUAUCUAUCUUAGGGGUGUGGCUCUGGGGUGCAUGCGGUGGGGUGGAAACAGAAUAACCGCAUUACGUCCUGUCAAAACCUAGCGCGCAGUAAUUCGGUAGUGCGAGGCCGAGCCGUAUGUACUUUGUGUGUAUUUGAAUUUUGAACUUCUAUAUUUUUUCUAAGUUGUGUAUUUUAGUUAGAUAUGGACUUCAUCUGUUUUUGUAUUUGAACUUCUUCUUAUUGUUUCUUAGUGUUUAUUUAUUCAUAUGCCUUGACUUCCUUGAUUAGUGUACUUGAACUUCUGUUCUUUAUUUUGUGAACUUCUUUCUCUUGUUUUUGUAGGUGCAUAUUUGUGUAUGUAUUUUUCUUCCCUUUGUAGUGUAUUUGCCAUCAAUUUUUGGUUUUAAGGAUACCAGCAGUGUUGUUGUGCGAUCUUAUCUUUUUAUAAUAGAUGCAUUCAAAUGGUGCAUUCAUUUAUCAAUAAAUGCAUUUACUUGUUUAGUUGUUGGGGGUAAAACUGUAAUUAGCCCGGCGCUCCAACACCCCACUACAGGGAGGCAUUAAGUGCCCGACUCCCUUUCAGAAAUCCCCCCUGUCUCUCGCUCUCUUCUCCCUCUCUGACGCUCCGCUGCUCUCGUCUCCUCCAACCUCCCCCGACUUCUCCGCGGCUGUCCCCUGCGCUCGUGUGUGGAGUAACCGCCGCGCGCCAUGCUCCUAUUUCUCCCCCAUGCCCCGCUCUCCCUCGCCCAGUCCGUGCUCUUCUCCUCUGAAGCGAAGCCGCAACUGCCUGCGCGGUUCCAAAGUGCGCGUGGCGUCGUGGGGGUGGAAGAACCACCGCGGAUUCGUGCGUGCGGGGGUCGUUUGGAGAGGUACAAAUGCUGCCUCCCCCUAAUGCUUACUCUUAGUUUCGUCAGAUCUGUCGAGGCCUAUAUGUUUGUUCUGUGUGCUCUCGCAUCUGCCUCCUACCCCUUCUUCUGAUGGUUGGGUUGGAGAUUAGGUAGGGUUCUUGUGCGUGUGGUGGGUGGAUUCCAUUCCCCGUGGUUAGAUUUGUCUGUGAGAUGCUUGUGUGUGCUAUUUCUCCCUUCAGACUUGUGUGGAUUUCAGUUCCCCUUUGGUGAUUUCAGCAGUCAGAUGCAUGUAAGAGAGGGUUUGGUGUGAUGGUUGAUGCUAGAUCUGAUGUAUCUAAUUGCAUUAGUGUUGUUGAUUUCGAAGUCUAGACUGUGUCUAUGACAUGCUAGUUAGUUUAUGGAUACUAUUUUUGUUGUGCUUGCGUAGAUGUGCUACUAUUCAUCUUUGCAUACUUGUUGGUAUGUUCUAGUUGUUUCAUCCUAGGAAUGAUUUAGUUGCUUUUUGUAUUGGUUGUAUGAUUUUCUACUUGCUAACUAUAUGCAAGCUAUCCCCUGUUUUUAGUAGGUUGUUUUAGGGUUUGGAGUUCCAUUCAUCAAGGGGUUGUGUUGUCAUGGGUUCAAAACCUUCUCCAGGUAUUUUUAAUGUAGUUGGAUCUUGUAUUUUAAAUAGCAGUUUUCUUAUAGAUGUUUGUCCAUAUCUUCACUUAGUUGUCUUGUUGGACUUCCCUUUCUUACUAGUGUGAACUUCUAACAAAGGUCAUGUGUAUGCAUUUUACCCUUAGUUUAAGUUAGUACAGUGUUGCUUAAUUUUUAUUUUGAUGAAUUGCUAGUGAACUAUGUCACCAAGUGUUGUUGGACUUCCCAAAUGUUUCAUAUUUAUAGUGUAUAUCUUUUUUUUCUUUUUUUGUGAUCAUUUUCAUGGUAUUGAUAUUUAGUUUGCCUGUGAAAUAGUAAUUCUGCUCAUGCUACAUAUUUCAUAUGUGCUACUUCCUUGGGUCACAUAGUUGAACUUCUGGUUUUCAUUAUCGUUUGUUUAUAAUGAAAUUUGGUUGAACUUCUCUUCUGCGCAUUUGUUUUACUGCUUUGUUAUAUAUUUUUGAACUUCUGGACAUUCAUCUUUUAUGUAGUACCCCCUCUGGUGUAGAUUGUUCUAUAUUUAGUAUGUAAAUUGUAGAUUGUUUAUUGUGUUUACUGCUUUGUUAGGUAUUGUUGAACUUCUGGGUAUUAGACAUUGAUGUAAAAGUAGAUCUCCCUUUGGUGUAGGAUUGCGGAUUAGAACUCAACUGCCUUUUUACUUGCAUUUUUGUGUAGUUGGUGAUGAAUUGAAUAGUUCUGAAAAAAUGCCUGCGAUCAAGAUGGAGCUUCAGAAGUUAAUACUGAUGCUCCAAGAUCUGAUGCGGCUAAAUCACCUCUUAUUCCUUUGACUGUGAUUGCUGAGGUUGCUUCGAGCCUUGAGAAUAAUUCAAGCCUCGAUGAUCUUGCUUCUGCACCUCUUGCUUCACCUAGUAUGUGCAACUCCUUUUCUUUUUAUUUUAAAUUCUCGAGCCAUGUUUUUUUAACUUGUUCCUGUUGUGUGUUUUUGUUUUUGUUCCUGACUAUUUUUCUUUUUUUCUAUGCUUUUUGUGUUCUUGCAGAUGUGUCCAUAGAGGAGGAAGCUAUGAACACCAUCAACGAUGUUCUAUCUGAGAUGGGUUUAUCAGAAAACACUAUUGCUGCCGAGCAGGGGGCUCCGUCAGUCGAAGGUUGUGAUUCCGUUCCGGAUCCUUUGUGCUCUCUUCAGAUGUCAGAGACGCAGUCGCAGUCUGUUGAUGGCACUGAACCUGUCACGCAACCUGAGGAUGUGCCUCUUCAGCUUCUUCUAGAGGACCAACGCAAGAGGAAGAAGCAAGAAGAUUUUGACAAGAAGAUGGUGGCCCGCCUUCAGAAAGGUUCUGAUGUUCCUGAAUCUGUUGAUGUUGCCGAGCUCAUGGUUGGGCAUUGCUCUGUUGCUGAGGAAGACAUGCCGUGUGGCACUGAUGGCAUGGUUGUCCCUGUGAAGAAGAAAAUCAAGAAGACCGCUGCGAGGAAGCAUUUAGUUGGUGAAGUUACUCCUCAGAGGAGCCCACGUGUUUCAAGGGAUGCAGAACCUGCUGAAGAGGAAGGGCUAGCCCUCGGUGGUACGCCACGUCGUAGUCCUCGUGUACUUGCCACUACGACGCCUACACCUUCUUCGCUUGGUGCUGGUGCAUCUGGUAAGGGGAAGAAAUGCGGCGUUAAGUGCAAGGUUGCACUUGCAAAGGUCAACAAGGGUGUCAAGAAGCGUUCUCGUGUUAAUCCAGAGGUCAAGGAUGAUGCUAAUUUCAACGCUGAUGACGAGGAUGACGAUGAUGAUGAUGCCGCUAAUCAGGUAUGAAUCUCUCAUGUUUACUGCUUUUGAGACAUUUGUACAUUUGUUGUAGUUUUUGUGUUUGUAGCAAUGCCUUGGCAUACAUAGCUGACCUUCUGCUUCAUAUAGACGAAUAAAUUAGCUGAACUGCUUGGCUUAUAUGGUAUUACUGCCUUUGUGUACAUAGGUGAACUUCUGGAUAUAUACAUAAGAAAUUAGCUUAACUUCUUGGUAUACAUGUUUUAUUACUGCCUUGGUGUACAUAGUUGAACUUCUGAUAUGUAAAUUUCUAACAUUUUGAAAGCAUGUUAACUUCUGGUCAUACAUGGUUGUACUGCCUAUGUAGACAUAGUUAGACUUCUAAAAUGUACUGCGUAUGUAGGCAUUAGUGGAAUUUUGGUGUAGUUUGUGUAUCUCAUUGUUCUGCCUUUUUUCCUUGCCAUUGUAUUUUUUCAGUAUCGGCUUGUGGAGCGGCCUGAGAGGAGGAAGAGAGGAGGCAAAGCGCCCGAAGAAGGUGACGAAGGAGGAGAUGAGGCGAAACGUUUUAACAAGAUGGUUCGCUGCUCACUGAAAGAGGUCAGGACGUGUGCGAAAAUGCUACAACUUAGGCACAAGACGAGGGUUAUCAAGGCUGGUUUUGGUUGUGUGUUUGACUUGAAGGUUGAUUCCAACAUUUCUCGUCCUUUGAUGGGCAACAUCUACACAAGGAUUGGCCCUACAACCAUGAUUCUGGACAUGGGUGAGGCAAACAAGGUUCUGCGGAUUACAAGUGAUGCUAUUCACCAACUUUUUGGAUUCCCUCAAGGUGAUCGUACCCCUCCUAGGCCCUCGAAUGAUGGGUUUGAUGAUGCCGUUAUGAGGCUGAAGGGCAAACUUAGCUACGCUAGGAGUGACGAAAUCAAGACAAAGGAUCUGCGGAAUAUCCUCGGGGAACUUGUGAAGGAUGAGACGAAGGAUGAUCUGGCUCUGCAGGUGUUUUACCUGAUUCUUUUCAUGAAGGUGGUUAUUCCUGGUACGUCUACACGAAUGUCCAGGGAGGCAGCAAUGGCUGAGAAUCUUGUCUUUGAAGAUAUGGCAGAUAUGGACUACUGCCAGUUGGUUGUUGAUGAUAUUCGAAGGGCUGUUGUUAGGUAUCAGCAAGGGACUAGCAGAGGAAAAGCUGUCACAGGCUGUGCCGUCACACCGCUUCUUAUGUAUCUGGACUGCCUUAUCAUUGGCAAGACGUCUAAUCCUGACUUGAGGACUCCUCGCAUCAAUUUCAUGGAUCAGGCCAAGCUUCUUGAGCUUGCUGCGGCUGACUUGGUCAAGAAGGGUGAUGAUGACCCAGCCAACGGGAAACUGCCUGUGAAUGUUUCUAUGCAUUAUUCUUUCGUGUGUAGUUUAACUUGAACUUCUGGUACCGUCUUCUAUAUUUUUGUUUCCAUGUUCCUUCAUUUGUUUUCUAACACAUUGACUUUUGUUUUGUAUGCAGUGGAAGACACAGGCUGAGGUUGUGUUCUUUAGGCGUAUCGAACGUCCUGUUCUUACUAUGCCUCGUGCCACCGGCCUAAGGAGUGGAACUUCCCCAAGAUUUGAAUUCUCCCGGGAUGUCAAUACUGGUGCCCCCCUGUAGAUCCAGGAGGUUCUUCUGCCCGUGUGAGUGCUGCAGGUGGCGUGUCUUCUGAGGGUUUGUUUGAUGCUGCCAAUCUUUCCCUGGUUAGGAUUGACGGUCUUCUUAAAACUGUUUGUGGGGAGAUGGCCCGUGUUCAGACAACUGUUGAGCGUCUUAGUUGCAUGGAUGGGAUUCUUCCUCCCAGUCAUGGUUUUGAUGCUGAGUCUUUGAAGGAUGUUUUGUCAAUUGAAGCUAGAUUUCUUGAUGAGCUUCGUCAGAGCACUUCCCACCUCCGGACUAGCUUUGGGUUGUUCAAGGAAACGCAAGAUGCUCGUCGCAAGCCUUUUGAAGAAGAGGCUAGUGUUGUUGUCAGACAGAUUCAGAGGCAAGAGUCUGUUCGUUUGGUUCGUGAAGGAGGCCACGCGGAGCAUACUGAAGUGGUUUGUUUUUGUUGACUUUUUGAUAGUUCUUUGCAUUAAUGUUCAUCGUUAGCUUUCAGUUAUUACUGAUUUUAGUCAUAGGUGACCCUUAUUGAUUUCAUGUGUCCUGAACUUCUUCUUUUUAGUAUUAGUGUUUCCUAGGUGAGCUUCUCUGUUUACAGUGUCUGAACUUCAAGGGCUACAACAACUUAACUUCUGGGAUUUCCAUAACUGGCACUUUUUGCUCCCUUUUUGUAUUAUAGUAGUUUGAUAUCUGACCUUAUAUGGUUACUGUAUUUGGACUUCCAUUAUGUGUUAGUGGUCAUAGCUGACCUUCUUUAAUUAUGUAAUCUGAACUUCUGCUGAUUAGGCAUUUGUGUUCUACAUGAUUUUUUGUAGGUUGUUGAUGAUGGUGCUAGGGUUGAGGAGGAUGUUUUACGUGAAAGAGCAACUGCCCCUGUGCAUGAACCUGCUCCCGUGAGUGACGUAUUAGUUGAUGAGGUUCAUGGCAGUGAUAAUAAAGUACAAUUUUUCUUGUCCAUUUGUCUCAUUUUUUAUUUUACUUGUUUGUGCAUUUUAUCACUACUAGCAAAAAGGCCCGUGCGUUGCUACGGGGAUGAAAAAACUGUGUGGCCCUCAAUACACCCACAGGUCCACACCCUUUGUUUAACACAGGCCCCACCCCUGUCAUGGCCUAUCCUCCUUCCCGCCAUCACAUACAAUGGUUGUAGCAUCCGAUACGAAGUCAUGCUUCACAACAGAGCAAAGCAAAAACUGUUAGAAUUGAUUGAGUUGCAAAAGGGCAUACAAUAUUCUACCCCGUGUUUCGCUAUGGGAUAAAUGCAAAUUGCCAUGUACUAGGUUGGCGGGUUUACUCUCCUUUUAGUUCAGCAACCCUAGUCGCACCCUCCAUCAUUGAUGAAUCCCCCUCCCUACGCCCACGCUUCCCUCCCGGCCCAUUUACGUCGUCUAGUUACAUGCCAUCUCCCCUCAAUCCCCUUGCCCCGCCUAACCACUUAGAUUUUUAGCCGCAAUCACAUGAUCAAUUUUCUGUGUUGUCUUUCUUCGCCUGCCUNNNNNNNNNNNNNNNNNNNNNNNNNNNNNNNNNNNNNNNNNNNNNNNNNNNNNNNNNNNNNNNNNNNNNNNNNNNNNNNNNNNNNNNNNNNNNNNNNNNNNNNNNNNNNNNNNNNNNNNNNNNNNNNNNNNNNNNNNNNNNNNNNNNNNNNNNNNNNNNNNNNNNNNNNNNNNNNNNNNNNNNNNNNNNNNNNNNNNNNNNNNNNNNNNNNNNNNNNNNNNNNNNNNNNNNNNNNNNNNNNNNNNNNNNNNNNNNNNNNNNNNNNNNNNNNNNNNNNNNNNNNNNNNNNNNNNNNNNNNNNNNNNNNNNNNNNNNNNNNNNNNNNNNNNNNNNNNNNNNNNNNNNNNNNNNNNNNNNNNNNNNNNNNNNNNNNNNNNNNNNNNNNNNNNNNNNNNNNNNNNNNNNNNNNNNNNNNNNNNNNNNNNNNNNNNNNNNNNNNNNNNNNNNCAAGGAACUCUCGCCAACUACUGAAAUCCAUGCCAUAUCUUCUUUUCCUCCUCACUGAUGCCACGGGCACCACAUAUCACAUGGUUGCACGGGGCAGAGCAUUAUGGAAGCUACUUGAUGCACAUGCAUCAUGGUAGAAUUAUUUUUCCAGCAACGUUUAGGUUCUGUAAUAAGCCUGUGCACCAGGGUAAGUUGAUUCUUGUGCAUUAGGGUGCAGAAAUUUUGCGGCAGCGAGCGAGCCAUAGACUCGGUUCAAAGGGCCUUUUUGACAGGUUUGGUUGUGGUGCCACGUCGACCUUUUGUGCUGGAGGCUAUGGGCCUCUUUUGGCAGAAGGACCUAUAAGCUAAUUUAUAUGCCUAAAAAAAGAAAGCUAAUUGUUGUGGGAAGCUCGCUUUCGGUCUGGAUUUCGGGCGCCAUAUGUGGCAUCUCAACCCCCGAGACCUCCAUUGUAUCCCUAUGAAUAUUGUUGAUUAGUAAGUGUGUUAAGACUAAAAAAGCUAAGGCCUUGAAUAAUCGCAUCUUAUCGCUCAUGAGCCGCGGCACAGGCUAUGCCGCUAGCCGGCUAAGCGAACAGCUAGGAUUCACAUGAGACAUGAUUUCACCAUCAAUGGAUAGACGAUGGUGGACAGUCGGCCGUCCCCGCCUAAUGCGGCGAUGCUGUGCCCGUGGACACAGACUCGGCAGUCAUCCAGCAUGCUUACCUGAGGUAAAAAGGGUACCGUGAAUUAAAAUUACCUGAUUUUCAGUUAUAUGAUUACUACGAAAAUUGUUGUUCUAGGUUACCAACUAUUGUUCUUUUUUUACAUUUCCUCAUGUGUAAUUUUUAUUUAGGCAUGUUUGCAUUUAUUUGGAUAAGUUUCUUGUUGGAAGAAAAGCACCGUCAGAAGACAUGAAUUGACAAGAGGAAAUUCAGUAUGAUCCAGGCAAGUGAAAGUUGAUAGAAAAUUACGUCCUAAUUUAAAAAGGUGUGAUAAUAAAAUAUUAUUUGAUUAAUAGACAUUGUCAAGCAGGAGAAAUUUAUUUUAUAUAUUCAGAGUUUAGGACUAAAAGGUCCAAUCCUCAUUAGUUUGAUGAGCUUGGGACAAAAUUUAACAUUGACUAAUUGGUUGUAUUUCGUGGCUUCGAGGAAGCGAAUAUACUAACAUGUAACGAUGCAAAUACUUAGCUACGUAAAUACUUUUAUUUGUCCAUUCUACUAUGUUCCACUUGAAAAAUUCAAUUUUGUUUAUAUUUGGUAGAUUAUUGAACCUUGGUGUUAUAUGAGUAUUUUGGACUUUGAUAAUCCAGAAGAUUUUUUUCAAGUAAUCUGUAUUUUUGUAUAAUAACAUAUAUUUUUUUACGAAAUACACUUUUAUUUAGCACAUUGCUGGUUAAAAAAAUUACGCCAUAUUAUAUUGAUGCAUCAGGGUGACUUUAGUUCUGGCUCCGCCCCUUAGUCCACGGUCGGCUACCACAGAAAAGCAGCAGCAGCACUGCAGUACACAGCCGGCCUCCCCAUCUACCACGGCCAGCAGCGGCAGCACACAACCGGCCUCCGCAUCUACCACGGCCAGCGGCGGCGGCACACAAACCACAAACUCCCCAAAACGGGCCUCCCUCUCUAUUUCUCUCUCACAAAUCGCGAUAGCAGGAGAUAAAUCACCCUAGUCAGAUAAAACAAAAGUCUGACUGACGAACCCGUGUAGACACAAACAAAAUAAGGAGAGUUGCAUACACCCAUGAGCAUCGAUAUCACUGUUGAGCAUUUACUAAAUUUAUACACGUGGAAGAAGUGGUAGACCAUGCUGGUCGCGCGCGCGUCCCAGCGCUUUGGCUCUGCUGAGUGCUGACCACACUAUGCUCGCUCACGCCCUGUCGUUUUUGGCAUCGCGGUCGAUGCCGCUACCCACUGCGUUGACCAAAAACCUUCAAAAAAAAA
rnacentral:lncRNA from 1 species